UACGGAGGAUGCGAGCGUUAUCCGGAUUUAUUGGGUUUAAAGGGUGCGCAGGCGGGACGCCAAGUCAGCGGUCAAAUUUCGGGGCUCAACCCCGACCUGCCGUUGAAACUGCCGGUCUUGAGUGGGCGAGAAGUGCGCGGAAUGCGUGGUGUAGCGGUGAAAUGCAUAGAUAUCACGCAGAACUCCGAUUGCGAAGGCAGCAUACCGGCGCCCAACUGACGCUCAUGCACGAAAGCGUGGGUAUCGAA
rnacentral:rRNA from 1 species